rnacentral:rRNA from 1 species
UACGUAGGGGGCAAGCGUUAUCCGGAUUUACUGGGUGUAAAGGGAGCGUAGACGGCCAGACAAGUCUGAAGUGAAAAUCCAGCGCUUAACGUUGGAAGUGCUUUGGAAACUGCCGGGCUAGAGUGCAGGAGGGGCAGGCGGAAUUCCUAGUGUAGCGGUGAAAUGCGUAGAUAUUAGGAGGAACACCAGUGGCGAAGGCGGCUCUCUGGUCUGCAACUGACGCUGAGGCUCGAAAGCAUGGGUAGCGAACAGG